UCGGGGAUCGUCUAACGGUAGGACUCCACCCUUUGGAGGUGGCUAUCCAGGUUCGAAUCCUGGUCCCCGAG
rnacentral:tRNA from 1 species